rnacentral:rRNA from 1 species
UGGGGAAUCUUCCGCAAUGGACGAAAGUCUGACGGAGCAACGCCGCGUGAGUGACGAAGGCCCUCGGGUUGUAAAGCUCUGUUGUCAGGGAAGAACACUCUCUAUGUGAAUAAUGUAGAGGGAUGACGGUACCUGACGAGGAAGCACCGGCUAACUCCGUG